AAUGCUUUUCUCUCAAGAACACCUCACUUCUUUUAUUUCUCUC
rnacentral:sRNA from 1 species